UCCUCGUCUCCAGUCACUCUCCAUCUGCAGCCAAAAAUCAGCGAAUUAAUGAAUUCUUAGCGUUAGCAGGUUUCGAUGAGAUUUUGCCACGCAUGUCUUUACACAUCCUUACACUUGAACUAGGGACAAAUCUGGGUGGAUUUGUGGUUGCAGAUGCUAAUGGAAAGAGUACAAGCAGACAGAGCUAAUCAUACCAUCCUUGUGAUAUUUUGGAAGCAGGGAUAGAGGAACCAAAUAUACCAGGAUUUUAUUGUUCACAUCCUACCUCUCAAUGAAAAUGCAAAUAAAUCACUCAAAGGAUCUGCCUCCAGCAAAGCUCAGAAGGACCACUUCCACUGCCCAAUGGUCCAAUCUUC